rnacentral:rRNA from 1 species
UACGUAGGGGGCAAGCGUUGUCCGGAAUCAUUGGGCGUAAAGAGCGCGUAGGCGGUCCGGUAAGUCCGCUCUGAAAGUCCGGGGCUCAACCCCGGGAGGCGGGCGGAUACUGUCGGGCUAGAGUCCGGAAGAGGCGAGUGGAGUUCCUGGUGUAGCGGUGAAAUGCGCAGAUAUCAGGAGGAACACCGAUGGCGAAGGCAGGUCUCUGGGCCACUACUGACGCUGAGAAGCGAAAGCAUGGGGAGCGAACAGG